rnacentral:rRNA from 1 species
UACGAAGGGUGCAAGCGUUACUCGGAAUUACUGGGCGUAAAGCGUGCGUAGGUGGUGAGUUAAGUCUGUCGUGAAAGCCCCGGGCUCAACCUGGGAAUGGCGAUGGAUACUGGCUCGCUAGAGUGCGGUAGAGGAGAGUGGAAUUCCCGGUGUAGCAGUGAAAUGCGUAGAGAUCGGGAGGAACAUCAGUUGCGAAGGCGGCUCUCUGGAACGCAACUGACGCUGAGACGCGAAAGCGUGGGGAGCAAACAGG